GAAUACAUGCAGAGGCUGGAAAAACUGAGUGAGUGUCGCAAGAGAUGUAUCUCCAAACAAUGUGUUUGAUAUCAAUUUCACAUAGUUUAUUGGGAUACCGUAACGAAGCCACGCGUGCGUGCGUGCGUGCGUAUGUACGUACACGUACACGUACACGUACACGUACACGGUUUUCUUUUGGCUUCCCUCUGCCUAAGCGUUGCCGUAUAAUUUCUUUCGGGUGAUAAAUCGAGGGCGGUCGAUGAACAGUGCAAGCUUGAAGUAUCCUGCGCAGGAAACGGGAAAUGGCAUUGACGGCGGCGGCUUGGGGCCAGGCGAUUCUGCGGCCGCUGCCUCCUCAUCUCCAACCAAGCCCAACCCGACGCCAUCUUCCCUUCUGGAUCUCCACCAGAACCGCCGCCGCCGACACUACCACCGUUGUCCGCGUCUCUCCACGACCUGGAGGAGGAGGAAGAGGAGGGAAGGAGGAAGAAGAAGAAGAAGGAAGCAUGAGUUCUAUUGAUACGUCGCGACUCUUGUCGGAUGAUUUCAAUUACCUAUGGAAAUUGGCUGCUGGCUCCAUUGGUGGUGCUUCUGCCGUCAAGUAUGGAAGCGUUCUUUUCCCGGAUAUAACACGGCCUAACAUAGUGCAAGCUCUUUUGAUGAUAUCACUGCCUGUUCUUGUUGCUAUUCUGAUUUUAAUCAAGGAAAGCAGUAAGGAUGUCCAAGAUGAGGAGCUACUUUAAAAUACUGAUCCAUUCUCUGCUGGGAUAACAUGACAACAUCUGCUGUGUGCAACAACAGAGAUUGAUGACACCAGUUUCUUGUAAUUGAAACAUGACCUGAUUCUCCUUUUUCAUCAUUAUUCAGUUUUUCUUGAAUCUCA